rnacentral:rRNA from 1 species
GUCGGACGGUAGCACAGAGGAGCUUGCUCCUCGGGUGACGAGUGGCGGACGGGUGAGUAAUGUCKGGGAAACUGCCCGAUGGAGGGGGAUAASUACUGGAAACGGUAGCUAAUACCGCAUAACGUCGCAAGACCAAAGUGGGGGACCUUCGGGCCUCACACCAUCGGAUGUGCCCAGAUGGGAUUAGCUUGUAGGCGGGGUAACGGCCCACCUAGGCGACGAUCCCUAGCUGGUCUGAGAGGAUGACCAGCCACACUGGAACUGAGACACGGUCCAGACUCCUACGGGAGGCAGCAGUGGGGAAUAUUGCACAAUGGGCGCAAGCCUGAUGCAGCCAUGCCGCGUGUAUGAAGAAGGCCUUCGGGUUGUAAAGUACUUUCAGCGGGGAGGAAGGUGUUGAGGUUAAUAACCUCAGCAAUUGACGUUACCCGCAGAAGAAGCACCGGCUAACUCCGUGCCAGCAGCCGCGGUAAUACGGAGGGUGCAAGCGUUAAUCGGAAUUACUGGGCGUARAGCGCACGCAGGCGGUCUGUUAAGUCAGAUGUGAAAUCCCCGGGCUUAACCUGGGAACUGCAUUUGAAACUGGCAGGCUUGAGUCUCGUAGAGGGGGGUAGAAUUCC